GGAAAACUCAAUCCCAAAAUUUCUCUGUUGAAUAAGGGAUCGAAGAUCCUUAUCAAGCUGAAUGAUUUGAGCUUGAAGAUCAGCAUGCAUUUUUUGAGCAAAUUUUGUAAAAGAAUCCACCUUCUGUUCUGUCACUUGAGAGUGAGUGAGAACCCUAUCAAUUUUGGAAUCACUCUGCUCAAGAGCUUUGUUUUGUGCAACAGCAUUUCUGGUUUGCCAGUUUAAAACUUCUU
rnacentral:misc_RNA from 1 species